rnacentral:lncRNA from 1 species
CCAAAUUCCAACUAAUACCAAAAAAAUACUAAACUUCCCGAAUUAAACUUUUUUUUAAACUUAGCAAACAUGUGGACCCACAUAACCUUAACAUUUUAAGCCAAAAAAAAUUGGGGGUAGGUGCGCAUAUAAGAAAGUUUUAUGCCAUUCAACGAUCCCUCACCCACAAGUCGCAUAUUAUGAAAAAAACAAAAAAUCCCAUUAAAAACAGCAGAUUUCUUGAUUUUUUUCUUCAGUAAUCAAGUUAAAACAUCAAUUUGUGUGUUUGAUCUGCUAAAUACAUUGUUCUUUGGCAUAAAUAAAAUAUUAAAGAACACAUGCCUUGCUAUUUUUAAAGUUUUUGGGGAAAUUUA